UACGGGGGGUGCAAGCGUUGUUCGGAUUUAUUGGGCGUAAAGCGCGUGUAGGCGGUUUGUUUAGUCUGAUGUGAAAGCCCUGGGCUCAACCCAGGAAGUGCAUUGGAUACUGGCAGACUUGAAUACGGGAGAGGGAUGCGGAAUUCCAGGUGUAGCGGUGAAAUGCGUAGAUAUCUGGAGGAACACCGGUGGCGAAGGCGGCAUCCUGGGCCAACACUGACGCUGAGGAGCGAAAGCCAGGGGAGCAAACGGG
rnacentral:rRNA from 1 species